rnacentral:rRNA from 1 species
GAUGAACGCUGGCGGCGUGCCUAAUACAUACAAGUCGAGCGAACGGACGAGAAGCUUGCUUCUCUGAUGUUAGCGGCGGACGGGUGAGUAACACGUGGAUAACCUACCUAUAAGACUGGGAUAACUUCGGGAAACCGGAGCUAAUACCGGAUAAUAUUUUGAACCGCAUGGUUCAAAAGUGAAAGACGGUCUUGCUGUCACUUAUAGAUGGAUCCGCGCUGCAUUAGCUAGUUGGUAAGGUAACGGCUUACCAAGGCAACGAUGCAUAGACGACCUGAGAGGGUGAUCGGCCACACUGGAACUGAGACACGGUCCAGACUCCUACGGGAGGCAGCAGUAGGGAAUCUUCCGCAAUGGGCGAAAGCCUGACGGAGCAACGCCGCGUGAGUGAUGAAGGUCUUCGGAUCGUAAAACUCUGUUAUUAGGGAAGAACAUAUGUGUAAGUAACUGUGCACAUCUUGACGGUACCUAAUCAGAAAGCCACGGCUAACUACGUG